ensembl:lncRNA
UGGAUACUGAGCCAGAAGCAGCACUGACAUUCAUAGGAAACAUACGCUUAGUUUUGCUGUAACUUGCUUCCUAACGUGGACUUCUGAGAUCAAAAACUGGCCAAAAUGUAGCUGCCUCUCCAGUGCUUCAGUGAGCCCAGAAAGCCUCACCAGAAUGUUCUGAAGCAGUUCUCUUCCCCACAGCAAGACAAAUGUGGACAUACUGGAGCAAGUCCAGCAAACGGUUGCUAGCACAAUUAGAUCAGGAGCAUAUCCUAGAACAGUUUGCAUUCAAAGGGACCUCAAAGAUCAUCUGACUCCAACCUUCCCUUCCUGCCGUGGGCAGGGUUGCCAAUUGCUAGAUCAAGCACAAGAUCUGGUUGCCCAGGGCCCCAUCCAAUCUGGCCUUGAACACAUCCAGGGAUGGGGCAUCAGCAACCUCUCUGGACAGCCUGUUGCAGCACCUCACCACCUUCUCAGUAAAAAACUUCCCCAUCAUCUAAUCUAAGUCUCCCCUCCUUUAGUUUAAAGCCAUUCCCCUUUGUUCUAUCACUAUGUACCCAUGUAAAAUGUUUAUUUCCCUCCUAUUUAAAAUCUCCCUAUAUAUUUGAAGGCUGUAAUGAGGUGUCCCUGGAGCCUUCUCUUCUUCAGACUGAAGAAGCCACACUCCUCCAGUCUGCCAUUGUAGGAGAGGUACUCCAGCCCUCAGAUCAAGUUUCUGCCCCUCCUCUUGGGCUCUCUCAUCUCCAGCUCCACAUCCUUCUUGGGCUGGGGGCCCCAGACCUGGACACAGUACUCUGCGUGGGGCCUCACGAGGGCAGACUUGACAGGGAAUCCCUUCCCUUGCUCUGCUGCCACCCCUCUUUUGAUACAGCCCAGGAUAUUGUUGGCCUUCUGGGCUGCAGGCACCUAAGUCCUUCUUGGCAGGGCUGCUCUCAGUGAGUUCUUCUCCCAGUCAGUAUAUGUACCUGGGAUUUCCCUGACCCAAGUGCAAUAUUGAAACUUUAACUGAACAAGGCCCUGUUCAGCUUGCUGUAGUGGGUCCUGUUUUGAGGAGGUCAGUAGAAUAGAUGGUCUACAGCUGACCCUUCCAAACUCAGCAUUUCUUUGAUUCUGUGUAAGGCCUAUAGCAUUAGAAUGACCCUUUCUAACAGGACUCUAAACUGCAGUGUGUUAGUGGAAACCAGAGACAAGCUGCAAUCACUGUAUAUAAAACUUCUCAAAACCUGCAGCAGGGAGUUGAAUCUGUUAGAAAAGGAUAAUCUGUGAAUCACAUUCAAGUUAAAGGUCUGGACUGCUGCAAUGACAUUUGGAAAACAAUGCGAUUUAUCUCCCUAAAGCGUCAAUAUCAAAAAACAAAUCCCCAUUAACAUCCAUUGAGAAAAAGGCUGCAGAUGACAGGGAGCUUCUCCUGCGUUUCCUGGAGGCACUGCUUGGCUGUAACCCAUAGCUGAUUUUAGGAGUGGGAACACACAAGUGUAGGAGGCACUGCAGUCUUGCAGACAAGACACGGCUCUACGAAUAGCAGCUCAGAUAAUACAGUACACAAGAGAGGUGUAAACCUUC